rnacentral:rRNA from 1 species
GUGAAAGCCUGUGGCUCAACCACAGAAUGGCCUUCGAUACUGGGACGCUUGAGUAUGGUAGAGGUUGGUGGAACUGCGAGUGUACAGGUGAAAUUCGUAGAUAUUCGCGAGAACACCGGUGGCGAAGGCGGCCAACUGGACCAUUACUGACGCUGAGGCGCGAAAGCGUGGGGAGCAAACAGGAUUAGAUACUCUGGUAGUCCACGCCGUAAACGAUGAAUGCCAGCUGUUGGGGUGCUUGCACCGCAGUAGCGCAGCUAACGCUUUGAGCAUUCCGCCUGGGGAGUACGGUCGCAAGAUUAAAACUCAAAGGAAUUGACGGGGGCCCGCACAGGCCGGUGGAGCAUGUGGUUUAAUUCGAAAGCAACGCGCAGAACCUUACCAUCCUUUGACAUGGCGUGUUACCCAGAGAGAUUUGGGGUCCAGUUCGGUGGCGCGCACACAGGUGCUGCAUGGCCGUCGUCAGCUCGUGUCGUGAGAUGUUGGGUUAAGUCCCGCAACGAGCGCAACCCACGUCCUUAGUUGCCAUCAUUCAGUUGGGCACUCUAGGGAGACUGCCGGUGAUAAGCCGCGAGGAAGGUGUGGAUGACGUCAAGUCCUCAUGGCCCUUACGGG